rnacentral:misc_RNA from 1 species
GAUGAAGAACGUAGUGAAAUGCGAUAAGUAGUGUGAAUUGCAGAAUUCAGUGAAUCAUCGAAUCUUUGAACGCACAUUGCGCCCCUUGGUAUCCCGAGGGGCAUGCCUGAUCGAGCGUCAUUUCACCACUCAAGCCUGGCUUGGUGUUGGGCGACGUCCCCUUUGGGGACGCGCCUCGAAACGCUCGGCGGCGUGGCACCGGCUUUAAGCGUAGCAGAAUCUUUCGCUUUGGAAGUCGGGGCCCCGUCUGCCGGAAGACCUACUCGCAAGGUUGACCUCGGAUCAGGCAGGGAUACCCGCUGAACUUAAGCAUAUCAAUAAGCGGAGGA